GAUGAACGCUGGCGGCGUGCCUAAUACAUGCAAGUCGAGCGAACAGACGAGGAGCUUGCUCCUCUGACGUUAGCGGCGGACGGGUGAGUAACACGUGGAUAACCUACCUAUAAGACUGGGAUAACUUCGGGAAACCGGAGCUACUACCGGAUAAUAUAUUGAACCGCAUGGUUCAAUAGUGAAAGACGGUUUUGCUGUCACUUAUAGAUGGAUCCGCGCCGCAUUAGCUAGUUGGUAAGGUAACGGCUUACCAAGGCAACGAUGCGUAGCCGACCUGAGAGGGUGAUGGGCCACACUGGAACUGAGACACGGUCCAGACUCCUACGGGAGGCAGCAGUAGGGAAUCUUCCGCAAUGGGCGAAAGCCUGACGGAGCAACGCCGCGUGAGUGAUGAAGGUCUUCGGAUCGUAAAACUCUGUUAUUAGGGAAGAACAAAUGUGUAAGUAACUAUGCACGUCUUGACGGUACCUAAUCAGAAAGCCACGGCUAACUACGUG
rnacentral:rRNA from 1 species